rnacentral:rRNA from 1 species
CGCAACGCGAAGAACCUUACCUACUCUUGACAUCUAGCGAAGACUGCAGAGAUGCGGUUGUGCCUUCGGGAACGCUAAGACAGGUGCUGCAUGGCUGUCGUCAGCUCGUGUUGUGAAAUGUUGGGUUAAGUCCCGCAACGAGCGCAACCCUUAUCCUUAGUUGCCAGCACGUAAUGGUGGGAACUCUAGGGAGACUGCCGGUGAUAAACCGGAGGAAGGUGGGGACGACGUCAAGUCAUCAUGGCCCUUACGAGUAGGGCUACACACGUGCUACAAUGGUAUGUACAGAGGGAGGCAAGCUGGCGACAGUGAGCGGAUCUCUUAGAGCAUAUCGUAGUCCGGAUCGCAGUCUGCAACUCGACUGCGUGAAGUCGGAAUCGCUAGUAAUCGCAAAUCAGAAUGUUG